rnacentral:rRNA from 1 species
GCCCGCUCAGAAACUCAAAGGAAUUGACGGGGGCCCGCACAAGCGGAGGAGCAUGUGGUUUAAUUCGAUGAUACGCGAGGAACCUUACCUGGGCUUAAAUGCUUAAUGACGUACUGGGAAACUGGUAUUUCUUCGGACAUUUUGCAAGGUGCUGCAUGGUUGUCGUCAGCUCGUGCCGUGAGGUGUCGGGUUAAGUCCCAUAACGAGCGCAACCCCUAUUGUUAGUUGCCAUCAGGUCAUGCUGGGGACUCUAACAAAACUGCCCGCGUAAGCGUGGAGGAAGGUGGGGAUGACGUCAAAUCAGCACGGCCCUUACGUCCAGGGCUACACACGUGCUACAAUGGCCGGUACAGAGGGCAGCCACUUGGUGACAAGGAGCAAAUCUCAAAAGCCGGUCUCAGUUCGGAUCGGAGUCUGCAACUCGACUCCGUGAAGUUGGAUUCGCUAGUAAUCGUAGAUCAGCAAUGCUACGGUGAAUACGUUCCCGGGCCUU